AUCUUCCGUAAGGUGACCUGCGGAAGGAUCAUUA
rnacentral:rRNA from 1 species